CCCGCAACGAGCGCAACCCUUAUCCUUUGUUGCCAGCGGCUAGGCCGGGAACUCAAAGGAGACUGCCAGUGAUAAACUGGAGGAAGGUGGUUCAUGACGUCCAGUCAUCAUGGCCCUUACUAGUAGGGCUACACACGUGCUACAAUGGCGCAUACUAGAGAAUCGACCUCUCGAGAGCAAGCGGACCUCAUAAAGUGCGUCGUAGUCCGGAUUGUAGUCUGCAACUCGACUUCAUGAAGUCCGAAUCGCUCGUAAUCUUAGAUCAUAAUGUUUCGGUUAAUACGUU
rnacentral:rRNA from 1 species